CUUGAGCGGUUUAAGCUAAACCGCACAUCAUUCAAUCGGAUUCGUACAACUCAGAACUGUGAUUGAAUUUCGAUUUGAUUGUUCGAUUCAUUGCAAAACAAGGACCAGGGGAUCAAGUUCAAAGUCAAUUUCUAUAAAUCGAACACAGGGGUGCUCAGUUGU